GCCAGCCGCCGCGGUAACACCGGCGGCCCGAGUGGUGAUCGUGAUUAUUGGGUCUAAAGGGUCCGUAGCCGGUUUGGUCAGUCCUCCGGGAAAUCUGAUAGCUCAACUAUUAGGCUUUCGGGGGAUACUGCCAGACUUGGAACCGGGAGAGGUAAGAGGUACUACAGGGGUAGGAGUGAAAUCUUGUAAUCCCUGUGGGACCACCUGUGGCGAAGGCGUCUUACCAGGACGGGUUCGACGGUGAGGGACGAAAGCUGGGGGCACGAACCGGAUUAGAUACCCGGGUAGUCCCAGCCGUAAACGAUGCUCGCUAGGUGUCAGGCAUGGCGCGACCGUGUCUGGUGCCGCAGGGAAGCCGUGAAGCGAGCCACCUGGGAAGUACGGCCGCAAGGCUGAAACUUAAAGGAAUUGGCGGGGGAGCACAACAACGGGUGGAAGCCUGCGGUUUAAUUGGACUCAACGCCGGACAACUCACCGGGGGCGACAGCAAUAUGUAGGCCAAGCUGAAGACUUUGCCUGAAUCGCUGAGAAGAGGUGCAUGG
rnacentral:rRNA from 1 species